UCCUGCUUCGACUCUGUGAUUCGUCGGUGAGAGGAUCCUAAGCACCGUUUGGCGUCGGCUCUGCGAGCAGCUGAUCUUCCUUGAAGGAGACCUUCUGCAUUGUGGGCUGCAGACACCCUGUGGAGUAGGACCAUCAGCUUCGGGGAAGCUCCCUCACCCACAGGACCCGCAGCGCUUCCACCGCCCCAUCGAGGUCCUUUCUUUUCAAUGGUGGUCCUCUUUUUGCUGCUCCUCUUUCACUGAGAAUGACUGACAGCAAACCAAUGCUUGUCAGGAAGCAUGAAACAGAAAACACAAGAUGUUACACAGAGGAGAGCAGAUGUUUGGACAAUCCCCGUCCAGGUGCUCAGUGCAUCAGUGCUUCCCUUCCACGAAUCACACAGUGCUGGAACUCAUGAGCCAAGCAAGCAAACAAGCAUCCUGCAUGGAUCUGACAUGUGGCCAUUGAAGCAGUGGGGUAGAGACAACUGGGCAUUAAAAACAAAACACAAACUUAAUAAUUUUGUGACAGGAACUGUGCAAUAGCAGGUCAUUGUCCUUGGUAGAACAGAAGGUCUCUUCAAUUCUGUGUUGUUAGUUGCUAAGCUGCCUCAUGACAGGUAAAUAUGACUUCUUACCUAAUUUUCUUAAAUCUAAUUUUACUAUCAAUUACUAUCUUCCUUUCUCUCCUCCAAUUCAUAUAUUAAAAUAAAGUCAGAAAAAAUAAUCAGGAUUAAUCAUUCCCAGGAUGAGAAAAGCAAAUGUGAUGAGAUCUUGCUCUCCUUUUCAUUUACUUACUCUCACAUUUUGUUUAUUAUUUACUUCAUGAUGUUUUAUACUGUUGUGGUGGUGUUUAUACAAGCCAUAUCAUUAAGAGAUAUAAAAGUUCUAGUUCAUUUAAAGAUAAUGAUAUUUUGUGUAAAUAAAAUGUGUCAUCCAAUAUUGUAUUUUUUUCUGUUUUAUCGAAGACCUUCUGGAAUGGACUGAAAAAUACUUUUCAUCAAAAUAAAGAGUAAGAGAAUUGUUAGCA